GGCCUGGCUGGACGGUCUGCCUUCACGGUAUGUACUGUCUGGCUGGGGCUUACCUCUUGGUGAGCUUGCAUGCCGUUUAUUCGGUGUGUGAGGGAACCAGGACUUUUACUUUGAGAAAAUUAGAGUGUUCAAAGCAGGCAAAUGCCCGAAUACAUUAGCAUGGAAUAAUGGAAUAGGACG
rnacentral:rRNA from 1 species